rnacentral:rRNA from 1 species
GUGAGGAAUUUUCCGCAAUGGGCGAAAGCCUGACGGAGCAAUGCCGCGUGAAGGAUGAAGGCCUAUGGGUUGUAAACUUCUUUUCUCAGAAAAGAAUUAUGACGGUAUCUGAGGAAUAAGCAUCGGCUAACUCUGUGCCAGCAGCCGCGGUAAGACAGAGGAUGCAAGCGUUAUCCGGAAUGAUUGGGCGUAAAGCGUCUGUAGGUUGUUUAAAAAGUAUUCUGUCAAAGAUUAGGGCUUAACCCUAGAUAGGCAGAAUAAACUUUUAAGCUAGAGUUUGGUAGAGGCAGAGGGAAUUCCCGGUGGAGCGGUGAAAGGCGUAGAUAUCGGGAGGAACACCAAAGGCGAAGGCACUCUGCUGGGCCAAUACUAACACUGAGAGACGAAAGCGAGGGGAGCAAAUGGGAUUAGAUACCCCGGUAGUCC